UCCGAGUUGACCCCGGCAGUCUCCUGCGAGUCCCCGCCAUUACGCGCUGGCAACACAGGACAAGGGUUGCGCUCGUUGCGGGACUUAACCCAACAUCUCACGUCACGAGCUGACGACAGCCAUGCACCACCUGUCACCCAGUCCGAAGAGGCACCCAUCUCUGAGUGUUUCCGGGUGAUGUCAAACCCAGGUAAGGUUCUUCGCGUUGCAUCGAAUUAAUCCGCAUGCUCCGCCGCUUGUGCGGGCCCCCGUCAAUUCCUUUGAGUUUUAGCCUUGCGGCCGUACUCCCCAGGCGGGGCGCUUAUCGCGUUGGCUGCGGCACGGGCAGAUUCGACUCCGCCCACACCUAGUGUCCAUCGUUUACGGCGUGGACUAC
rnacentral:misc_RNA from 1 species